rnacentral:rRNA from 1 species
UACGUAGGGUGCGAGCGUUGUCCGGAUUUAUUGGGCGUAAAGAGCUUGUAGGCGGCUCGUCGCGUCGGGUGUGAAAACUUGCGGCUUAACCGCAAGCCUGCACCCGAUACGGGCGGGCUAGAGUUCGGCAGGGGAGACUGGAAUUCCUGGUGUAGCGGUGAAAUGCGCAGAUAUCAGGAGGAACACCGAUGGCGAAGGCAGGUCUCUGGGCAUUAACUGACGCUGAGGAGCGAAAGCAUGGGGAGCGAACAGG